UCAGGGGGCACCUCUGCUGUUGGAGCUCCUGGUUGGUGUUGCUGCAGUUUUACUGCUCAACUGUGGUGCUAUUACCCGGAGGUAAACUGUUGGACUUGAAGGAGCAACCUGUCAYCUGAUGGAAGAGCAACUCCCCAAAAUGAGCACGUCAUCAGACUUCAGGAUGAAAUGGCACAGAAAAUGGCAUGGACAUAGACAGCAAAGACAACCUUCUUCACCAAGAGAAGAGACUAAUAACAAACCACUGAAAAUGAAGCACCAAGUCUUCACCUCAGAAGGAUGCAAACCCAUAUCCCAAAGGAUAGUAUGGCAAGAAAGCUAAUGACAUUAAUACAUAGUUAAAGUUGCUCUUUUCUUACAGUUGAGAUGUGCUCUUUCCUUAAAGGUCUAAGAGCCUUCAGGUAUURUUGUUUUAAAGCAGAUCGUGGCAUGAAUAUUUGAAGUAUUAUUACUGUCAGAAAAGUUUAAUACACUUCUCCAGGAUAAAAGAGCCUUUAACUUAUGACUUUUUUCUCUGCUCCUCCUUCCUCCACUCCUACGAACAGCAAAGCUCACAAGUUUUGGUCAUGUAGGGAUCCCAUGGCACCAAAGGAUAUAAGAGAAAUUAAACUCAGUCUUUAAAGAUCAUUUGAAGCCAAGUAAUAGAAGGGAGGCAUUGAGAACAGAGAGCAGAUAUCUUCCCUCAAAGAGUCAGUAG